UGAAUCAAUAUUAUUUGCACAAUAUUUAAUGCAGCUCAAACGUUUUGGAGUAAGAAGUUCUGGAUAGCUUCCUGUUAUCUAUGUAAAAUAUUCCAAAAAAUAUAUAGAAAGGUUUUCGGGUCCAGGGCCGUCAGAUGGUUACGAACGAUAUACUUCCGGAGGUUCGAUUCGCAAACCGUGCUCAUCUGGUUUGGAGACCUAAGCUACCUAUAU